UUUGUUGUUGUUGAUGACGUAUGGGAUAUAUCAGUUUGGAAAAUGAUUAGAUGUGCUUUGCCUGAUAAUGAUGUUGGAUAUACUAUUAUUACAACAACCCGUAUUUCUGAUGUUGCUGAACAAGCUGGGGGUGCUUACAACAUGAAACCUCUUUGUUUGAAUAACUCCCGACAACUAUUGUAUAGAAGAAUAUUUGGUAAUGGGAACAAAGACAACAAUGAAGAAGAAGAAAAAUGUCCUCAUGAGGAGCUGGCCGAAGUAUCUGACAGAAUACUGAAGAAAUGUGCUGGUGUGCCAUUAGCUAUAAUUACGAUGGCUAGUUUGCUAGCUUGCAAAGCAAGAGAUAAAAUGGAGUGGUAUGAGGUGUGCAAUUCUGUUGGUACUGGUCUGGAAAACAAUCUAGAUGUGGAGAAUAUGAGAAAGAUUUUGUCAUUUAGCUAUUAUGAGCUACCAUGCCAUUUAAGGGCUUGCUUGUUAUAUUUGAGCAUGUUUCCUGAAGAUUAUAUAAUUGAGAAGGAUCGUUUGAUAAGGAUGUGGAUAGGUGAAGGUUUAAUCCAAUGUGAAAAAGUAGGGAAGAGCCUAUUUGAACUCGGAGAGAGUUAUUUCAAUGAGCUUAUAAACAGGAGCAUGAUCCAACCAGAAUAUGAUCUUGAUGACAUAAUGAUACAAGGUUGUCGUGUACAUGAUAUGGUGCUUGAUCUUAUCCGCUCCUUGUCAAGUGAAGAAAACUUUGUUACUGUACUAAGUGAUAUGGGAGGCACAUCUCCGUCAAAUACGAUUCGGAGGUUGUCCCUUCAGAAUGGCCAAGAAAGUCAUGUGAUGGUUCAAGCUACUUUCAGCAUGAAGCAUGCAAGGUCGGUUGUUGUCUUUCCAGCUGCUGCUUCUCUAGUGCCGCCUCUUGACUGCUGCCGAGUUUUACGUGUUCUGGAUUUAGAGGAUUGCAAUCUUUCACAAGCUAAUAGUAGCCUUAAGUACCUUGGGAAUCUGCAUCACUUGAGGUACUUGGGACUAUUUAAGACAGGUAUUUCUCAGCUCCCGGAAGAAAUAGUAAACCUGCAGUUUCUACAAACAUUGGAUGUAAAGCACAACAAAAUUUCCAGGUUGCCCUCGAGUAUUGUCCAGCUAAGAAAGUUGAUGUGCCUAUACAUUAACUGGACUACAAUAGUUCCAAAUGGAAUUGGAAACUUGACAUGCCUUGAACAGCUGUCAAGGUUACGCAUUAAUGACUCCACCAGAAACAUUAUAGAAGAGUUGGACCAGCUUACUGAACUGAGGCAGCUAUCCAUUCAAUUGGACAAGUGGAACGACAAGCUGUUGGAGUGCCUAUGCAAGCUACAAAAGAUGCAGGAACUAACUAUCACGGUCUAUCCUGGUCAACGCAGCAUCGGCGGAUUGGAUGCCUGGGUCGCCCCUCAACAUCUCCGUGAAUUGGAUACACGACGCAGCUGUUGGUUUUCAACACUUCCAGCUUGGGUGAAUCCAUCGCUUCUUCUGGACCUCACCGAUCUAUCCAUCGCCAUGAGGGAGCUACGUCAGGUUGAUCUCGAUAUCCUCGGGAGGUUGCCAGCUCUCUGCUUUCUAGAUCUGGUGGUGGACAAUAAGAACCUUGGUAUCCUUGCGGGAUUCAUUGUUGAUGCUGGUGCGUUCCCGUGCCUUGUAAGCUGUGUCUUCCGUCAAUUUGUAUGGCCAGUGGUAUUUCAACAGGGAGCAAUGCCAAGGCUCAGAAAGCUUAUGUUCUGGACGUUUUAUGUGGGGGAGGCAAGAGGAAUUGCCUGCACCGAUGGUAGUCUCGACUUGGGCCUGGGAAACCUGCCAUCGCUGCAGUAUGUCACGGCUGACCUAAUAUGUGAUGGCUCUAGCAAGGAGGAGGUGGAGCAAGCAGUUGACGCCAAGGUUGUGCUGAAGCAUGCAGCUGAAAUGCAUCCCAACCAUCCCUCACAUUCGAUCGAUAUUGUUAUUACAGGUGCGCCAGCUCCUGAUUGUUAUUUCUUACUUAUCUCCUUCCCCCUUCUUCUAAACUGUAUUUGCGUUUAAUCCUCUGUUUGAGAUGGUGGAUUUCCAGCUGAUCUUUCACCACGCCUUUCUUCUAGCCCCUUUGCCUCAAUUCUUCUAAUCUUCCUUUCGUAUAUUUCGGUCUGAUAUACAGAUGACGAUGACGAUGACGAGUAAUAUAAGAGUUUACACCGGAAGGUGAAGCUGGAGCAGAGCAGAUGACAAAGUCCCUCUAUCUGGCCACGCAUGCAGCGGUUAAACUGCUCGGCCAUGAGCUUUUCGUUGCGAGAGUGUACUGUACUCAUAUUACCGUUUUAUUUCAUCGUAAGAUUUUUACUGCAGCCUGCUGUUUCAGUGCAAGGAACCACCCAUCAUCAGUUUUCACUUUUCAGUGCAAGGAACGUUUAUUUUACUCAUUGCAAAGGGACUGAGCUAUCUCCUGCGCCCCAAAUCUAGUUGCGUCUCAGUGGUUCAGGGCCUUGGCUGUUUAUUUUGAUGAAAUUUUUUUAGAUUAAGUGAUGAAAAAUAAAAAGGAGGUAUUUUUGGGUUAAUGUUGCAGCUUGUGACCGUAAUCAUCUUGUGAGCUGUAAGCAUGCAUGGACGGCAGUAUGUAUUCAUUGUUUCGCGGUUUCUGAUACACUAGGCCAACUAUUAUGGCAUUUCGUUCCAGCUACGAUGCUCAAGACCACAUUCAUUGUGCAUCUCUCUGAAGAGAUUCUAGCUGGCUACAAUUCUAGUCCAUGAUCUUCUAGAGCAUCUCUGCAGCACCACCCUCUAUCCCUUCACGCCACUUGUCAAUACAAAUACACAUACAACUUGGGAGGUUGCAUGGACACCUUCCGUCCCUUAAAUAUAUUUCUUUCACAAUCCUCUACUCAAAUUAGAGCCAACAAACACUCUUAGCCAAUAAACACUUCUACAUAGUUGGUACGAGUUAUUAGGCCGGCUACCUUUUAUUAUAGCAAAAGUUGCAUUGAAUUCUAGGGUGCUACAAAUGGUGUCUAAUUGUGGCAGAUAAAUAACUCCAACUCUUUCAAGAACUCCAACCCUCUGUCUUCCUCCGAAGUGUAUAUGUAUACAUACACAUUUAACAGCUUCAAUGGGUGUGGCUACAGAGUCGUGGCCGAUCAAGAACUAGAUCAUUUUCUUCCUGUUUAGUGACUACCUGACAGACUGAACUAUGAAGUCUGAACAGGCCAGUUCUGACAGACCUCAGAGCUUCAAAAUUAGAUUUUCAAUGUGCUUUCGUCAUUUGCCAGUAGCGAUGCUUGAAGGAAAAAGUAACAUCAAAACAUUUUAAAGUGAAACAUUUUCUUUUCACAAAAGAAUAACAAGCUAAACCUCACAGGCCAUUCGGGGGAAGCUAGAAGAUGCAAGGGAAAAGGGGGGACGCAAUGGAGGAGGCGAAUUCCGGUGACGCUAACACCGAGCGAGACGCUGGUGGUGGGCCGGAACGAACGCGUCCAGGUCGAAAUCUUUUUACUACAAGGUGCCUUCAAUUCAGUUCAUCCCCUUCUCCAUUUCCUUCAUGUUACGCGACAUUGGCACCCGGCAAACAAAAUCACUGAUGCAUCGUGAAAAAAGCUCAUGACUCCGGGAGGCAUUCAUGAUACAUGGAUGAUUUUUGAACUGUUGUUGGGAUCGCUUGGCACCGCUUGUAGGCGUGUUAUAUAUACACUCUGCCAUGCCUUAAGUACAGAGUAACCUGCGUUUUCUCUUUCAAGCAGUUAGCUAGUCUUUGAACUAUAUGAAGCAUUGGAGGAAACCAAAUUACGAGCUUUGACUUUUGUAGCUGAACGCAUCCACAAAUUUGGUGAGGCAUAUGGGCACAUUCAGACAAUCUUUGAUCUUGAUCACUUUCGGCCUGUACAGAUCUUUUCUCUUUCACACAAUUCCAAACACAAAGAACCAGUGAAGACUUUGUAUAUACGAUGGUAUAAGCCAUAAUGGUGCGUAUGGUUAUCGUGGUCCAUGUUGCUAAUGGUAUACAGAAGUUCAAUUUAUUGGUACAAGUGGCCAUGAUGUAUUUGUGAAAAGAGCAUCCUGUUCUUGCUGACUUCAUUGAUAACACGAUCAGGUUCGCUAUUUGGAUGUGUCGAUCGUGACAGGACUUCAGAAUGCUACCUUCCUUUGUUAGGCGUGUUACAACUUACAAGAACUGUAAAGAAGAAAUAGAAACUCAGUUAACAUCACAUACAAUGAAUCACAUCCCAUCAACAGAUAUUUGUCUGAGCUUCUCUUCAUCUCCGCUACGGCAUUGCACCCCGCAGCCUUCUACAUGGCGUUUAUGUUUUUUGUCCUGUGAUUCUAUAAUGGAUGAAGAACCGGUUACAGGUGAUCCUCGGAAGGUCACCUGAGCUUUUCCUUAAGGCCCGUCGAAUGAAUUUGUCCGCGUGCUCCUCAUGCUCCCUCGACCCACGCAUCCACGUCCAUCCCAGCCGGCGAUCACCGGUCAUAAUAAGCUGAUUAGGCUGAUAGCUACAUGAUUGAAGCGACGGCAGCACAAACUCGGGUGUGGGACGGACUCUGUUAUCGAGCGUCAAGCAUCAUCGUUUACAUGUUGUUCAGAAUUCAGUCAUAUGGUUCAGUUCACUUCUUGGUUGUCAGGUAUUUCCGGGAGGCAAAAACUGACUAGACUCACUGAAGCAUGUAUGCAUAGUGCCAUCGGUUCAUCACUCUUCAUGUUUAGAUGGAGGUAAUCAGUGGGAGGUCAUGAAAGGGAGUUUAGAUAGAAGAGAUUAAAAUUACAUUGCUUGUUUGAUGGGAAUGGGAGUUUUAAUGGGAUGAGGAAUAGGAGUUUUAAUGGGAUAAGGAAUGGGAGUUUAGAGAGGCAACUCCCACUGAUCACUUCCCCAGGGGAGGGGUGGGAAUUGGGUAGGAAUUUGUUUUAAAUGGAAGAUGAAUGCAUCUACACCAUUUAUCAUAACUUAAGAUAUAAUUUCCCAUCGCUAAAUCCUCACACCAAACAACGGAUAUCUAGUCUCACUUAAACUCCCACUCUUAAUUCCCUCCAAAAGACAAACAAGGAAAUGGCACUAAAAAUCAUAUUCCCAAGUAAAUUCCCUCCGCCAACUCCCACCGCUAAUUCCGAAGCCCCUUCCCAUUAGUUGCCCAACGCACCCUUAGAUUAGAUGAAACUGGCACCGGUCAAAAACAGAAUACUGAUCGAUCAGAUGAUCACCUAUGUGCUGUGAAAUGAAAUGAUUGUAAUGCUCGUAAAAAUUACCAAUUUAAAUCACUCGUUAAAAAUGCAUUCCAAAAUUUUCCGACCGUUGAGCUCCCAAAAAAUCCCCUCUUUCCCGUCGGAUCCGCCGUUCCGACCCCCGACGUCGUCAACCCUCUUUUUCCGUUCCCCGUAUUUUUCGCCGCGUGCCCGUCAAAUUCAUCACGCGUGCCCGUCAAAUCCCGCAAUUCCCGCCGUCUCCCUCUUUUUCUUUUUCCCUCCUUUUUCCCUCUCUUUCUUUCUUCUUUUUCCCUUCUCCUUGUUUCUUCUCUUUCUUCCUCCUUCCUCUCUCUCCUUUCUUUUUCCCCGCUUCCUUUUCUUCUCUCUGGCGCCUGGCGCCCGGCCCCUCCCUCCUAGCGCCGCCCGUGCGUCCCCUGCCUUGCGCACCCCGAGGUGAGCACCCCGCACGCGCGCCGGGCCCGCGCCGCGCCCGCGUCCGCUCGCGCCUUGGCGCCUAGCGCUUGGCCAAGCACGUCGCAUCACCGGCCGCCGGUCGCCGGUCUCCGCCAUCCCACCGCACGUCACGCCGGCCAUCACCUCGGUGGACUCCUUGUGCUCCUCGUCGACCGAGCCACCACACCAUCCACGAGCUUCUCCACUCUGGCACGCCACCGGCCAGAGGUACGGCCGCCAUUAUCACCCGGCCGCACGCCCACCUCUCCCUUCGCCUAUAAAAGGAGCAAUGCUCCGACUCUCCGCACCGCCACCUGCCACUAGCAUCACCACCGCCCCUUCCCUGCUCCCUCCCGUGCGCCCAACUGCCACCUUCCCUGUGCGCCGCCGCCCCUAACCAUUGCCGGCCGCCCCUCCUCCCAUCAUCAAAAUCUCCAAGGUGAGUGGCAAAAUGGGGCCUCCACACCUCCCCCUACCCUUCCCCACCGUCGGGGCCCGCCGCUGGCAAGGCCCGGCCGGCUGGCCGGCCACCGCCAGCCAUCCUCUCCACUUCCUGUAACCGGCCAAAGGAAGAAGAAGAAGAAACUCCUUCAAUUUCGAUCUACCCCUCUACUUCCAUUUAUUUACAAUCCGGCCCUUCCACCUCUCUCCAGGAAUUCUCACAGAUGAGCCCUUCCACUUUUCAGAAUAAUUACAAAUAGGUCCUUGGUUCUCGCGGUUUAGUCCUAAACCUUAAUUUAAACCCCUAAUCCAUGUUUAACUCGUCAUUUCAUGUGCCAAACUUCCUCCAAUUAAUCCCAAAUUCGACCACGGCCUCCUCUCAUAUAUUUCCGUCAAGGCAUAUCCAAAUUUCAUAAAAAUACCCCUCCUACCUAUUUUCCGUUCACAUUUCCUGUUCAGAGCUCAACGGGUAAAAUCUUAUUUUUGUGCUCGUUUGUGUGUGCCGUAGAUCGCGGAGUACCCAAGGAGGAGCACGAGGAGGAGUUCGACCGCGAGCCCAAGCCCGAGGACCAGUACCGCGAGCAGGAGCUCCCGGAGGGCUUUGAGAACGGCAAGUCCAACCUCACCCUUUGAUGCAUAUUUAAUACCUAAUUUUUCAAAACACAACCUAUUGGCCUAUUUUAUAAAAUGCAUAUUGUUUUAUCGCAAGACAUGGUUGGAUAGCCACCCCUUGAUUGUUAUGAUUAUUCCUUGUUGUCCUAUAUUUGUCUCUAGAUAUGAGUUGCUCUGUUUAGAUGAUAAAUACUGCUAGAAUGCUUAGGAACUCGUUACUCCCAUUCAAUCAUGACUACACUUGUUUAUAAAUGUGUGAGUGUGUUCAACUGAGAAAAUGGGAUUUUCAGGCGUAAAGAGAAGUGGUGCAUGGAUGAGAUGGAUGGGUGUUUCUUGUGUGAAAUGCCAAGAUGUUGAGCUCGUACCUUAGUGGUUGAGCAAGGUUGGGAGAUAUCCAUCUUGUCAUGGUUAAGGACUAAGUUGAUGUGUCAUCUUGCCUAAUUCAACCAUCGUGCAACCACUCGACCGUUGUAUGGGCAACGGCUUAGCAUGAAUCCCACUAGCUAAACUGCUAGGCUUCAGGUGUACUGGUGAGCAACGGGAACCCAUGGAAAAGGAUUAAGCUCUUGGUGACUUAGGUCCCGGUUCCGGCCUCGUAGAUGGGUCGUUAACCCCUUGGGUGCUUCCGUGAUGACUAGUCAGUUUUGGCUAAGGUGGGUAAUGGUUUUGUUAGGAUCCGCACCGGCACUAAGGUGAUCGUGCUGUGGUACCCUACUUGUGGGAAAAGUGUACAACCUCUGCAGAGUUAAAACCUAUCCGGGUAGCCGUGUCUAUGGCAUUGGACGAGUUACAGCUUGGUCACAUAACUAGCAUUUGGAGAUGGUUGGUUUUUAUGGUGUGUGUUGGAUUUUUGGAAGUGUCCGGCAGUUGUGCCAUGCGCUGCAGCGGACGGGGGGUCCGGUAGCGAUAAAACUUGGAUCCUUUGUGUAGGAUCAACCCCACUUAAUGAUUCGGUUAUUAAAUAAAAUACUUUGUAAAAACUCUUUGAAAAUGAACCCUUGCAUGAGUUGAAAAUCUAGCUUUAUUGCAAAUGAACCUUAACCUUGUCCUUGUUGUAUCAUGUGCAUGUUCUUGUUGUAUCCCUCUCCAUGGAUGGGGUUGGACUUGUUGAGUACCUUUGUACUCACCCCUGUUUUGUUGCUUCAGAGGAGGAUCCGGACUACGUCGUCGAGGAUUUUGAGUAGGGGGUUGCGUCUGCACCCAACGCUGCUUGCGGUGUUGGCCCUUUUGCAGGAUGCUUCCGCUGACGCAUAGUCCGAUUGCAGCCCGGAGUCCGACUGGACUGCAACUUGGAUUUGUAUUGUUAUCGCUUUAGUUUUACUUUGGGUGUGGCUUGCCCGCCCUCUCCUUCGGGAGUUGUACGGUUUCUGAACUAUCUGUUGAAUAAAUAUGUUAUCAGCCUCCUGGGACUGAUAAUUGGAUCACAUUUAGUCUCUACUUAUGUGGGGACGCUUCAAUGAUUCAUGAACAGUAACCGUAUGACUUGUUGGGGAUCACUCUAAAAGACAGCCACCCUCGAUGUCAUCUUCUUCGGCACGAGGCAACUUGCAUCGCGAAAUCUUUGCCUUCAGGCGAAGGUUGCUAACAUCGUGAGACCAAUUUGGCAUAAAAACCAUGUUAGCCUCGCGCCGUCUCUAUAGCUCGGGUCUCGAAGCUAAGGCAUAAUUGCUAAUGGCUAAAAUGUGACAAAGCUUACCCUCGGACGCUCGAAGCUAACCUCGAGUGACGAGUUUUUCACUGUGUUUUAUUCAGGGUUACCGGAAUGAGGGCGCUAAGGCUCAAGGCACGAGGCUAGGCAUCUUUCUCGGCACGAGGAUGAGAGAACUUCAAGCACGAGGUAAAGAGGUUUGCUGGAAAGAUGCUAAAGGCACAAAGGCGUGAAAAGCAUGAUUGCAUGGAGGCGUUGGAAACGUGAACCCCCGGUGGCGUGAUUAACGUGACUACCCGCUAGCGUGAGAAGCGUGACCCAAUAGAAGAGACCAAGUUGAACAAGUUACCUCCAACCUUAGAAUGUAAAGUGUCCCUCGGAUCACUAUAAAAGAGGAGCCCUACCCUGGUGUAAAGGGAUGAUCUUUUUUGAGAACUGAAUCACGAGUGCUAACUCUACAUUGUUGUGUUCGAGUUUCCUUGAGGAGUUCUCUAUCGCUAGGUGUGAAAGCCUACAGAGUCUUGAAUCUUCCCAAGGUGCGUCAGCUGUGGGUAAGUUGCUGUCAAGUUUAAGGCGUGUGGAUGAGUUGGGCAGUUUGGAGCAGCUGUGGCUGAAUGUGGAUACGCAGGACCUCGCUUCUCAGUGGGUGCCUGGGCUUAAACAACAGCGCCAAUAACUCCAUGGGGAAGACCUGGAUAUCUACACAUGGUGACUGAGGUACGAGAAAAACUGGGCAUUAAUUUAGUUGCUCCUUAAUUUGUUUGGUUGUCCAUCUAAUUAAUGUUGUUUUCUCUCUGAAUUUUGUAGUUUCAACCGACACUAGCAUCUUGAAUUUGUGGAUAUUAGUCUUCUGUAGGAAGGAGGACUGAUGAUAAAGUGCAACGAUCAAGAUGAACUGAGGUCGAAAGGUGGGAACUGAGAGAUGGAAAUCAAGAGCAGCUGCAUGCGAUGCAUCGAUUCUUGCUCUAAGGUUGGGUCUAUGAGAACACAGGGAACACAGGGAGAAGGCUUCCUCUCUUCUUUGGCCCAUUGGAAGCCUUGUUUAAUCUUGUUCAAGUGUUUGCUAUUGUUGUGUGCAUGUCUAAACAAAAUGUGUGCUACUUACUUGAGUUUCUCCAUUAAUUCAUUCUGUAAGAUGGGCUUCUAUUCCUUGUACUUAGCGAACAUGUAAUCAUAUCUUGGCUGGUGCCUAUGCUGCUGCUCCGUCGUCAAUUUGUCACCUGCUCUUUCACUGUGAUGCGAUUACAAUUUGUUAGGUGCAAUCAAUUUCUUCCGUUCUGUUCUCAAAAGAAUGUCAGAACUUGGAGAAUCACAGCCAUCAAGAUGCACUGAUGUCGGAACUCGGAGAAGGCUUCCUCUCUUCUUUGGCCCAUGGGAAGGCUUGUUUAAUGUUGUUCGAGUCUUUGGGUAUCCUUGUGUGCAUAUCUGAAUAAAUUGUGUGCUACUUGAGUUUCUCGAUUAAUUCAUUCUGUGUGAUGGCUUGUAUUCCUUGUACUUCGUGAACUUGUAAUGUCAACUUCAUCUGCUGUUGCAUGCUUUCUGUUGCCAACUGAGCUCCUGUUUUGUUACCACUGCUAUUAAUUUUUACUCUAAUAGAACUUCUGUUACUCGUUCCCCUGCUUAGUUCCGUAAUGCAUCUUAUGUCAAACAAUCAAGUCAUCCUGUGAAUGGUGAAAUGCGGGUUAGCUCUAAAAAUCAUAUCUUGGCUGGUGCCUAUGCCACUGCUCUGUCAUCAAUUUGUCACCUGUCCUUUCACUGUGAUGCGAUUACAUUUUGUUGGGUGCAAUCAAUUUCUUCCGUUCUGUUCUAAAAAAAAACUUCCGUUCAUAGGACUAGAUUUGCACGAGCAAUUUUCCGUUCAAAUUCGUGCAGCUAGAGGAGGCACGAGUCGUCAUUAGUCAAUACUUAGGUAGCUGCAGUUUUGAGCAUCUACUGAAACUCUGUUCUCUUUGCAUCUACUCUGUUUUCUUCGAACCCUGCUUGAUUCAGUACCAAAACAAGACAGCUAGCCGGAUCAGGUAGCGUGGUCGCUCUACUACAGAUGAACUUCUGAACAUUAAUUUCCUCUGUUUCUAUAAAUCGUGCAGUUGUUCAACAAUAAGAAACCAACUAAUUUCAUCAUGUUUAUUCAAAAAAUGGCUGGCUUGUGGAAAUGCCCGAAUUGAUGGACUAGAAUGUUGAACACGAAGUUUGGGAAAGAGUUAAUCUCAGAACUGGAGUUGGCAUGCAUGGAUCAUGAAGCGACUUAGAUGUACUUGUGUAUGUCCAAUUGCAUCAAGGAAAAGAGCUGCUCCAGAGCUAUCUUGAAGCUUUCUCCUCCAAGCGCAGGGAGGAAUAGAACAGAGCAGAGAACAGCUGCACUGCAAAGGCGCUCUCUGCACUCCUAGGAAGACUGAUUGGACUGAGAAAACAUGUGGUUGGACUUUUGACUAGGGGAGCUAAGGUGAACGAUUCUUGACUAGGAAGGCAUGAGGUUGGACCUCUCAUUCGGUCCGCUAAAAGAACAAUUAUUGUUGACUAAGAAAACAUGAGGUUCGGCCUCAGAUGGAAUUUGUAAGGUCCAAAGGGCCACUUUCAUAUCUUCUCCAUUCUAGAGGAUCGGAAGCUUUGGUCAGUUUUGUAUUCAUUUCUUUGCAAAAGAAACGUACUCAGAUGCCUCCUAUGGUCUCCAUGGUUGGUUGCAAUCACCUAACUGAAUUAAUUGAACGAUAGAUAGAGCAUACUGUAAAUUUUUUAUGACCAAGGACAAAAGGAACGACUUCUACUGAACUGACCACACAGCAAAGAGGCCAAGGCCUGGUGGCCUUAUCGUCACGCAUCUCGCUACUAAGUAGUGAUCACACACCAAAUAAAAGCUAACAGCCGAAGAAGGCAACGGAUGUCAACAAAGAUGGCACGCAUGCAUGUUUCCUUGACUAUAUAUGACAUGGGACAACUAAUUUACAUUUAUACUGCUACGAGUUUUACAAUAUUAGUAAAAAUCUAUUUGGAUCCGAUGCUAAAUUUUAGCCGGCUAAAAAUUAGUCCUUGACGAUUUAAACGGUGGGGCUAAAGGUGGACUAAUUAUUAGCCAACUCAAACUAAACUUUAGUUCAUUAGCCCUCCAAACCCAGCUAAUGGGGCUAAUUUUACAAACGAAUGGUAAAAGAUUAAAAAUACCCUCCACUAAAAUCUUAAAAUUUUCUCUCCUACACCCCCUAAGGAUAGAAUAGACAUUUCCCAAUAAAUAGGUUAAAAAUUAGCUCUACCUCCAAAGAAGACAGAGUUAUUUUAGCCAACGAAAGUUUUGAUGUCUAAACUUUAGUUUUAGUCCAUCCAAACAGACUCUUAGAAUGAUUGAUACCACCACCUUGAUUUUGGUUCGGAAGUAUUUAUCUAGAUAAAAUAAAAAUUUUAGCGCUGGUCCAUGUAUCUAGAAAAAUCAAACCGACCUACAUUUUGAAACGAAGGGAGUAGAAUGUAAGAUGCAUAGGUGCAACUUGAAGAAAAUUGGAUCCCCGUUGGUACGGAACUAUGAUACAAGUAGGGAGAGAUGUCUCGUACGUAAUUUCGCUGUUGCACGAUUCAUGAAUGCAUGCAUGUAUGAUACAAGUAGCAAGAGACGUCUCGUGAUUUCGCUGUUGCACGAUUCGUCAAGAUGCAGGGACCAGCAUCAUCAAACUGAAAACGUGAUGGACCGAGACGGCGGCGUGUGUUGAAUGUGUUCCGCCUGCAGGCCGCGACGUACUUGAGAAUAGCACGCGUCACGUAAGGAGGUGUUUGAUUCUUUAGAACCUCCUAAAAUUCCUAUCACAUCGAAUGUUUAGAUACUAGUUAGGAGUAUUAAAUAUAGACUAAUUAUAAAACUAAUUGCACAAAUGAAGGCUAAUUUGCAAGACGAAUCUAUUAAGCCUAAUUAGUCCAUGAUUUGAUAAUGUGAUACUACAGUAAACAUGUGUUAAUGAUGCAUUAAUUAUGCUUAAUAGAUUCGUCUCGUGAAGCUUCCGUCUGUGUAAUUAGUUUUAUAAUUAACUCAUGUUUAUUCCUCCUAAUUAGACAAAUACUAGUCCAUCAACCCGUGCUCCCGCACGGACUAAUAUUUUUAGAAGCAAUUGUAUAUAAAAAUUAUUUAAAAAUUAAACUCUUAGCUAAUAAUCAAAAUUGUUUACCUACUACUCUCUUAUUUUUCCAAUACUUGAACAUAAUAAUUACAUAGAUAUGUACCUAUCUUUGUCCAGUUGUGAUUGCUUUAUAAUCAAUAAUUACUCUAUAUACUUUUUCAUCCAUAUUCAUACUUUUUUUCAUUUUGUAUCACACCUCCAAUCCUUCAUACAUUAUGUUUAGCAUACAAAUUAAUAUUUUUCAUCGAUUCCUCACAUACAUGUAUAAAUGGUCUAAAUGGUGGCACUCAUCAUGUGUAUAUACUUUAACUUAGUAUUUUUAUAUUAACAAUGACAUAAAUAGGUAAUUUAGAAUCAUAUAUUAAUUUACUUUUUGACAUUUCUGUAUGAUGCACAUGAAGAUAAUUAGAUGAAGAUUUAGGUGUUUACUUUAGGUUAUUUUUAAUAUCGACAUAUGUGGGUAAUAUAGAUAAAAUUUUAGAAUGACAUUUUAAGUUAUGCUUUAUAAUGAUGUGUAUUAGUAAAUUGGACGAAGAUUAUGAGGUUACUUUAUAUUAUUUUUUAUAGUAGCUGAGCUCAGUAAUUUAGAUAUAGAUAUAGGUUUAGAGCUCAUUUUUUUAAUAUUUUCACAAUGAUAGUGGCAGGUAACCUUUUAGAAAAUAUAAUAGAUCAGUGGCUAUGAUUAUUAGAGUUUACAUGAUUGGUGUUUGAUGUUUUUAAUUUUUAUGAGAAUUUCUCUCUUUUUUCUAGCUUGUCUCGUGGGAACUAAUGUGGAGUCUCCAAUGGAAAAAAAAUGUAGGGUAACCUCAUGUUAUUUUUAAUAAUAGCAUGUGUGGGUAUUAUAGUGGUUAUUUUUCAUGCAAAUUUAAGGGUUACUUAAAAAUUUUAAGUAAUAGUGGUAGGCAAUUCAGCUGCAAAUUAGGGGGUUAUUUUAAAUAUUGUUUACAAUGGCAUAAGUGGGUAAUUUUGAUGAAGAUUAGGGGGUUACUUUAAUUAAUUUUAUAUAAUGGCAGAGGUGGGUAAUUUAUAUAUAGAUUUAGAGGGUUACUUUAGGCUAUUUUCAUAAUGGCAUAGGUGGGUAAUUUUUUUAAAAACAUAAUAGAUCCAAUGGUUGUAAUGAUUUGAAUCUAUCGACCGAUGGUCGGAUGUUUUGCUUUUUUAUAAGAAUUUCUAGGAUUUCUCUCUUUUUGUAGAAUGUCCACCUAGGAAUCCUAGGUGGCUUCACCUGGAGGCUUCAAAAGGAGCCUCCAAUUAGUAAUAGUAAGAUUCGAUGUGACAUAAAUUUUAGUCCGGACUAAAGAUCGAAAUUACCCCUGGUACGCGUGGGAGUAGCUCAGCUGUCCCUGUCCAUUGCGGCCCGGAAACUGGAAUUCCACCUUCAAGAAGUACGUGCCGAGCCUGACUGUUUGUAGAUUCGUCAAGGUCAUCGUGGUGUUUCUAGAUUCGUUUCAUCUUUCGAAGCAGAGUUCUUGUGUUGAGUUCUUGUUGUUCACCGUGCAAGAGUUGGCGUUUCUAGCACGCACGGAGAGUGAAUCAAGGCAUGUGGGACGACCCAUUCGGAGUAGUAGUCAAUGUGGAAUUGAAUGACGGGCUGUGUUAUGGUGUGCACGAGUGGAAGAAAUUAAAAAGUCUGAUUGCAACGUUACUGCGUUACUUGACGAAAUCUGCAGCUUGAAGAACAGGGAAGGUCCAUGAAUGCAUGCGCCGGAGGAGAUCCGGAACAACAUAUGCAUAUACGGGAGUUCUUGGGAAAAUAAUAAUUAGAUAAAAAUUACUAAAUUAUCUAUAAAAAUGGAUGGUUAGACCACUAACGAGUCGCAUAAGGCACCGUAAAAGACUUCUUGAAUAAUUAUUGGACUAACCUACAUGAUUAUUAUAGUGCAGAAACCAUACCGAGCAGGAAUGGAGUCAACAAUGACGUGUCCUGUGCAACAAUGACGUGUCCAGGAAGAUGCGGUCCAGUUGACGCAGCCAAGAUGGGCCGUUACACGUUGAUCCAUUGUUAGCUAGCGCACUCGCUUCACUAGCAGCAACCUCUAUAAAAGGAGAUCAAUACCGGAACAGAUCAGCAAUCUGCACAAGACCACAAGUAGUUAACUAAGCAUUGCAGCCAGUUAUUAGCAACUAGCUACUAGUGACUACUGAACAUCCAGCGCGUAGGAUGGCUGCAAGAAAGGCUAUUGGUGCUAACAAGGAGACCUGCGGCGCCUUUGAACCUUGUUUAUGGGGCGACUUCUUUGUGAAUUACACUCCUACCUCAUCACAGGCAUGAAUUUAUGAUUUCAUUGUAGUCAGCAUGUUAUAAUUUUUAGCUCUUUAGUUAUAUUGUAUUGCAUAACAAGCAGAGGUCGGAGGAGUGGAUGAGAGAGAGGAGUGAGCAACUCAAAGGGGAAGUGUGCCGGAAGUUUGAGGUUGGAAAAGCCAUGAGCGUGGCCGACACGGUGAGGUUGGUGGACACGCUCGAACGCCUUGGUAUAGAGAACCAUUUCGUCAAGGAGGUUGAGAAGGCCUUGGAGGGUGUCCACGAUGAGGAGCUGGACUUUGGCAGCUCCAAUGACUUGCAUGUUGUUGCCCUCCGGUUUCGUCUUCUUAGGCAACAUGGCUUUUGGGUAUCCGCAGGUAAUAGAAAUCAGAAGCUAACAAAAGCUGAUCAGUUAUGCUCGAUCAUUCUUCUUUCACACAUGUUUCUCUGUUUUUCUCUUUUUUCUUGUUGCCACCACAUAACCUAUACACGCUGAAAACUGUUUAUCAUACAAUUUUUUUGUUUUAGAUUUAAUUUGAAUGCGUGUGUAAUAUUAUGUACUAGGAGUUAUAGAAAACGCCAUAUCAUUACUAUAUGAGCUUCUAGUGAUGAAUAUGUACAUACGUGCAUGCAUACAGAUGUAUUCGACAAAUUCAGAGAUGACACCGGUAGUUUCAACGUAAAUCUAAGCAAUGACCCGAGGGGCCUGCUUAGCUUGUACAAUGCUGCUCACAUGGCGGUACCUGGUGAGACGAUCUUAGAUGAUGCUAUCGCCUUCACUAGGCGCCAUCUUGAGGCUGCAAAAGGCAAGCUUACAUCUCCUAUAAAGGAACAAGUUUCCCGUGCCCUAGAGAUUCCGCUCCCUCGUUUUAUGCGGCAACUAGAGACCAUGCAUUAUCUUACUGAGUAUGAGAAAGAAGAGCCACACGACAUCAUGAUGCUAGAGCUCGCAAAGAUUAACCUCAACCUUCUUAGGAGUGUCCACCUCAAGGAGCUGAAGGACCUCUCACUGUAAGUUGAUAUUCUAGUUCUUUCACCCUAUUUGUUCAUUGUUCAUUGUCUUCACUAACAAGGUGGGUCAACCAAUUCCAUGUGAAGAUGGUGGAGGGAUCUCUACGACAGUGUGAAGCUAACCUACUGUCGGGACCGCAUCGUGGAGUCUUACUUCUACAGCUUUGGAGUGUUCCAUGGGGAGGAAAGCUCUGCUGCGCGGAUCAUACUUACCAAGGUGUUUGGGUUGUUGGUCCUGAUUGAUGACACAUUUGAUGUGCGCGCCACCUUUGAGGAGUCCCAAAUGUUAGAUGAUGCCUUGCAAAGGUAGGAUAAUUCACUACCACUACAACUACUUCCUCUAUUAUAUGUUUUUUGUAAAUGAAAAAUCAAGUUUUAUCGUACAGCUCACUUAUAAAAAUAACAAGGGACUCGAUAACUGGAAUGCUGACGCACAUAUGAAAAGAACCUAAAAUCAUUAUUGUAAGGAAGUCGUACUACAAGAUGGUUGUAUACUUGUAUGUGGUUAUAUAUGUUGUUCGCUGGUCAAAAUAAAACAGCCAAACUAAUUAGUGUAUUUCUGUCAUAAUUAUAUGUAGAUGGGAUGAGAGCACUGUUUCGCUUCUACCACAAUACCUACGCAUGUUCUACAUCAAAACAUUGAGUAACUUCAAUGAAAUUGAGGAUACUUUGGAACCGCACGAGAAGUACCGCAUGGAUUAUGUCAAAAAAGAGGUGUGGAUUAUAGUCAACUAACAGCUAUGUAACUUCUGUAGAAACAUAACAAACAUGAACAGUGGUUUCGAUCCUCUCAAUUUUAUUAAUCCCAACUUAUUUGCGUACAAUGUUUUUGAUUUUGCAGUACAAAUUGCAAUCAAAAAAUUCCAUCCAACAGGCUAAAUGGUUCAAUGAAAACUGCACGCCCAGCUUCAAAGAACAUCUAGACGUGUCACUUAUGGCGACGGGUUUGCCGUUGCUGUUCUUCACAGCUCUGAUGAGUGCAGGCCAAGUGAUAAGCAAUGAGGCAUUCGAGUGGGCACUUGACAUGCCUGACAUGUUUUAUGCCAAUAUAGAAGUGGGUCGCUUCCUCAAUGACAUCGCUUCUUACAAGGUACUAUAUCGAGUUCAAAUAAUAGUCUAUCUAUUUUUAAAUAUUUGAUGCCAUUACCUUUUUCAUUCUUUUGACUAUUCAUCUUUUGUAUAAACAUAAACAUAUGAUGCACGAUUUAAAGCACUUUUGAUGAGAGGUCUAGUUUUACUUAUUUCGCUUUACUUAAUGAAUUAAUUCAAUAACCAUUAUUGUCAAAGUUUGAGAAAAAGACACCUUAGAAGGUAUUUCAAUCAUGGAGGUAUUUAUAAGACCAUUGUUGUUAUUUUUAUUGAUAACAAAUAUUAGAAAAGCAAUGGACAGACAUGCAGUACAUUCCAAACACCUUUGACAUCAUAAACAGCAAAAUAAUCUACUACCUGCUUGUAUUGGAAAAAUAUGACAUUCAGUGCCCGGAUGGAUCUCGUAUAUGCACGCACCUAACAUCACAAAUACGCAUGUCUUUGCGCGCAGCAAGGGAAGUGCGAGAAGGAUGUGGCCAGCACUGUGGAGUGCUACAUGAGGGAAUACGGCACGACUGGGGAAGAGGCGGUGGCAGCGAUCACCGGGAUGGUGGAACAUGCGUGGAGGAGGAUAAACAAAGCUUGCAUAGAGGUGAAACCUGCAGUAGAGCCGGUAGUGCGAUGUUUGUUGAACACGACGAGGGUGCUAGAGGCCUACUACCUUCAUGGCAGGGACGGCCUCACCUAUGGCCGUGACCUCAAGGAGCUCAUCACCUUCCUCUUCCUGAAGGAUGUCCAUGUCUAAGUUUGUUAUUUGCAUCAGUACGACAUAUAAUGUACUGCAUAUAUGCAAUUGUUAAAUGUGAUGCUUGUGUCGAGAAUAAUAAAAACAAUGGUGCCAACCUAGCUAACUGGUCGAGCCUCGUCACUCGGUUCAGCCUGCCAUUGGCUUAUCUUCUGAACUUAAUCUUUUACAUAUAUGAUAUUGCCAUCUGCUCUCAUUUACUGUCAGACUUAUUGUGUGUUUAACUCUUGAUCUGCUCUCAUUUGCCUAUGCCAAUGCUCUGUCGUCAAUUUGUCACAUGUCCUUUCACUGUGAAGCGAUUACAUUUUGUUGGGUGCAAUCAAUUUCUUCGGUUCUGUUCUCAAAAAAAAAAUCUUCCGUUCAUAGGACUAGAUUUGCACGAGCAAAUUUCCGUUCAAAUUCGUGCAGCUAGAGGAGGCACGAGUCGUCAUUAGUCAAUACUUAGGUAGCUGCAGUUCUGAGCAUCUACUGAAACUCUGUUCUCUUUGCAUCUCCUCUGUUUUCUUCGAACCCUGCUUGAUUCAGUACCAACACAAGACAGCUAGCCGGAUCAGGUAGCGUGGUCGCUCUACUACAGAUGAACCUCUGAACAUUAAUUUCCUCUGUUUCUAUAAAUCGUGCAGUUGUUCAACAAUAAGAAACCAACUAAUUUCAUCAUGUUUAUUCAAAAAAUGGCUGGCUUGUGGAAAUGCCCGAAUUGAUGGACUAUAAUGUUGAACACGAAGUUUGGGAAAAGAGUUAAUCUCAGAACUAGAGUUGGCAUGCAUGAAUCAUGAUGCGACUUAGAUCUACUUGUGUAUGUCCAAUUGCAUCAAGGAAAAGAGCUGCUCCAGAGUUAUCUUGAAGCUUUCUCCUCCAAGUGCAGGGAGGAAUAGAACAGAGCAGAGAACAGCUGCACUGCAAAGGUGCCCUCCUUCUCGGGCUGUGACUGUGUAAUAUUCCAAAAAUUUGAAAUAUUAAUUUGAGUGAAAUUUCCAAAAAUUCCAAACUUUUUGUUCAAAUUGUGUGCUUGUUUAAAAAUGAAAGACAAAUUCUCUUCUCAUCCAAAUUCCCUAAUGGUCAAAUCACAAAUCUCUUGAAAACUUGUGUGGAUUUUCAUGGAUUUUAUUUGGAUCUCAAAUAUAAGUGUGUUUGAAUUUUGAAUAUAAUUCAAAAUUCAAACUAAAAUGUAUCCCUCCUAAAUUUCUGUAAAUCAUUUCUUAAGAGCCAGAUCCGCCUCCUCUACAAAAUUUUUUUGCUCCUGAAGCUUUUGGCUGAGAGUAUGGAUCACUUUAUCUUUAUCAGCGAUGGUCCUCAUAACUUUUUCUAUAGUGUCCCGGAGUUUCUCCAAAACACCAAGACAAUAAACACCAAGAUUGUCUGCAGAACUCUUUUCCAGGCUUUUGACUUUCUGAACGAGGUCGCUGCAAGUGUUGGUAAGCAGCACCUUGUUUCUUUGAAGCUUGGCGUUAGCCUCGAAAAGCUCAUUCUUUAGACUUACUAAAAUGCUAUUUUCCUUCUCGAGCCUCGCCACCUUAGCCUCAAGAUUUAGCAUCUUGGCGCUCUGACUGAGCAUAUCCUUCUCUUUCUCUGCUAGCUUCUUCACAGCGAUCUUGCCGAGGAUCACAGACUGCGCAGGCAGCAAACAGAGAAAGGCAAAUUAAAUGCUAUCAAAUAAUAAGAAGCAAGGAAAAUACACAUAUCAAAUACAAUACCUUGUAACCGAGGUUAGCCAACGGCCUGGCAAGAUCGUCAGGUUCGAGGUCACGAACAGCUUUCUCAUACUCUAUCGGAAUGAGACAUGUUAGAAAAACAAGCAAACUAAGGAUAAGUGCAGUUGAGGUAAACAAAAAAGGAAAUAAGAAGAAAUAACUUUCAGGGUCGAAAGCUUUAUCCUCGCAUUCAUCCUCAGCACGAGCCUUGGCCUUUCCAGAGGCCUAGAGGUCCCCUUUUUUCUCUGUAUCCCCCUUUUUUCGAGCCUCGCCCCCGUCACCCUCAACUUUCCCUGGGAUUGCCUUCGCCACUUCAUCUACAACACGGACUGCAUCCUCAGUCACAGCCCUGGCAAUGUGGGAAUUCUUCGUAGAGUUUUUGACCUUCAUGCCAGCAAGCGGACCAGUAGCCUCAAGCUCAGGUUUGGUUGUAGCUGGCUCAACCCUUGAGACAAAAGACGCAUAGCUCUUUGUAGCUUCGCCCGAAGAACUUUGACCAAGUCUUUCUUUCUUUUUUAGGGCCUCGAGGCUGGAAAUCUUCAACUUUGCUCUCGCAACCUCACUUACAAUGCCCGCUUGGGUAUCUUUCUUCCUCGCAACCUCGAUCAUGGCCUUCGAGCCUGCACUCUUAGCCUUCUUCUUUUUCCCCUUGCCUCCCCACCAAUCUGCUUCAAGCCGGUCACGCCGGCCUCGCACAUUUGCUUGGAAGCUUUGCGAGGCUUCGAGCAGGGCUCAACCUCAGUUCCAAGAUCUUCAAACACACGGUUGAUUCGAAGCUCAUGCUCAACGAGCUUGCAGGCAGACGACAGCUCAUUCUCAUGGCAGGGGCCAAGGAAGUCAAUGGUGUGCCUCUCAACCUCAUCUACGAAGAGUCUAGGGUUAACACCCUCGGGCAACUCUAAUGCAAACCGAGGGUAGGGGAACAGGCUGGUGCGCCACGAGAUAGUCUUUCGAAUAAUCUCCUUUAGUUCCCACCCUUUGGAAAGAGGCCAGAUGUUUGCCGCCACAAACUCAUCGACAAGAUCCCACCCAGUAAUUGACCUCGAGGCUGAGAAAAAGACGUUCUCGCACUCCUUAACAACUACGAUCCUCGAAAAUGGGGGAGUAGUGGAGAUGUCCAUAGGACCUAAUGGGGAAUAGAAAGGAUAAAAUGACCGGUUGAUGCCAGAUGUGUUGGCCAUGUCAACUUUAACAUAAAAUCAAUAGCUCAGCCAAUCGUCAUCCCACAUGUUCUUCUAUGCCGAGGAAAUUUCAACCCUCAGGAUUUUCUGUUUCUCAUUCUUCCUCCGAGUCAUGAAUAUGCAGCAACCAAACUGUGUCUCGAAGGUACCUUCCUCAUCAUCGAACACAACCCUUUUCCAUUGGAUGUGAAGCUCGAAUAACCUCGUGAGCCCAUCAAUAUUGAUUGGCCCACCAAAUGUGCGCUGGACCCAGUAAAACUUGGAGAGUGCAACAAAGGAGUUUGGGGUAAGAUGAUAAAACCUAGCCCUAUACGGAUCCAGAAUCCUUGGAAACUCCUUGUCACACGGAAACCUUAGGCCCGUGGUGAAGAAGUCUCUGAACACCACAACCUCACCUACCUUAGGCGCUGGCACAAUCUCGUCACUUGGAGGCCUAGCAAUACCUUCGGGAAAAUAACCCUUGCUAACAUAGAAAUCUAUGGUAUUCUUUGAAACCAAAGAUCUCCCGAAUAGCAGGGUGGGAGGAUAGACUUCCUUGCCAGCCAUCAUGUCUGAGGGGUCCUCCUCGAUGUUGGAAAGGUCCUCCCCGCUAUCGGCAGCAACCUCGACAUCAACCUUGUUUGUGGUAACCUCGUCAGCAACGCCCUCACCAGCCUCAACCAACUCGAGGUCUUCUCCAGCCUCAGUGCGAAGCCUCGACUGUUCAGCAAAUUCCUCGACGGUCAUAGGCCUCGUAGUUUGCAUUAUACGAGCCAGCUAAGCAACGAUCAAAUAUCAAGUUAAAAUAAAAAACAAUAAAGCAAAACAUAAAAAAAAGUAAAAUACAUAUAAGAUCGUUACCUUCGAGACUUUGGAGAUCAAGGCAGACAGCAUGCAACACACAAAUCUCAAAGCAACUAGCAACACGCAAAAGCAAGUAGUGAGCGAAGUUUCAAGAUGCGAAGGUAAAUUCGAAAGUGACCUAAGCCCCCCCCCCCCCCCCUCUUUUAUAGGCACGGUAACGGACGCAAAAUGACACUUUAAACCUCGAGCCGAAUACGAAGCGUCAUCCAAUAAGAAAUUGACACGUACGACUUAAAAGGUAAACAUUGCCUCGUUUCUCCCUGACCCUCGAGGCUGACGUUUUUUGGGAGAAGCAAUCCUUAAUCGUGGGUUCGGCCCGUCGGUGUCGACCCUCACCCACAAGGGGCUACUGUUGGGGAUCAUCCUAAAAGACGGUCACCCUCAAGGUCGUCUCUUUGGCAUGAGCCAACUUGCAUUGUGAAAUCUUUACCUUCGGGUGAAGGUUGCUAACUUCAUGAGACUAGUUUGGCAUAAAAACCAUAUCAGCCUCGCACCAUCUCCAUAGCUCGAGUCUCGAAGCUAAGGGAUAAUUGCUAAUGGCUAAAAUGUGACAAAGCUUACCCUCGGGUGCUCGAAGCUAACCUCUAGCGACGAGUUUUUCACUAUGUUUUAUUCAGGAUUACUAGAAUAAGCGCGCUAAGGCUCAAGGCACGAGGCUAGGCGUCUUUCUCAGUACAAGGAUGAGAGAACUUCAAGCAUAGGUAAAGAGGUUUGCUGGAACAAGGCUAAAGGCACAAGGGCGUGAAAAGCAUGACUACAUGGGGGUGUUGGAAACGUGAACCCCCGGUGGCGUGAUUAACAUGACUACUCGCUAGCGUGAAAAGCGUGACCCAAUAGAAGAGACCAAGUCGAAUAAGUUACCUCCAAAAGACCUUUAUGUACAGUACAUUUUAGGAAUGUAAUAGUUGAGAUAGGAUAAUCUUGGAAUGUAUAGUGACCCGGUAAAAGGGAGCCCUACCCGACAUAAAGUGAUGAUCUUUUUUGAGAACUGAAUCACGAGUGCCAACUCUACAUUGUUGUAUUCGUGUCUCCUUAAGAUUUGUUUCCAACAUGACUUAAGGCAACGGAUGCAUGCUUAUCAAUACCAAAGACUAUCAUAUAUAUAUUCUACUCCCCUAUGCCUUCGAUGGCAUUCAAAACAUAAUGUUGCAUGGAUAGUAAGAGUAACUUGUGUUCCUCUUCCAACACUGAAGCAUUAGAGGAAACCAAAAAUACCACGAAGAGCAUUGACUUGUUUACCUGUGUGCGGGUAGCACAACCAAGCAUGCAUGUAGCGAUUAGAGGAACUCCCAUUUGCCUUUUGAGCAUUUUGGGAGACCAAUUUGAUCGGUUUUGCUAGACCUGCCACUUUUGGACCCCAACAGUUACUUCUUGAGUUUCUUUGGCAGAGGUUCUAUUCACAAUCUUGUGGCUAUGUAACUAUCUCUACUAGUCAAGAUGACACAACUAGCUUUGUGGUGAUGGUGUUCUAUUCUACCCUUAUAUUUCACUGUAUUUACCCACCGCUACCAUGUCUAGUGUUGGAAUUAAGCUUGUGCAUGUCUGAUUUACGGUGCCAUUGCAACCGACGGGUAACCAUGCUAGUGAUCGGAGACAUUCGAGUUGUUGCUUGUCCAGUUGUCCAGCCAUAAUCAUUUAAACCAAAAAAACAAAAAAUCUUAUUGCCGCUGGUUCAAUACUGACAUCCGCUGUGGUGUCAGGCGGGAUGGCACCGCCCGAGGUCGAAGCCUUCAUCGGAGUCGGUGUCAACUCCGGCGCCACGCGGCAUGUCAGCCCGAGCGCUCGUCGGCAGGGCGGGCUUCAUAAUUUUAAGGGUCUUUGGGUAAGCAAACUAAUUUUGAUAUAGUAUAUAGUAUGAGUAAUAAAAAUUACUUAGCCAUACAUGUAUAGCUCAUAAAACAUAACAAUAGUGUAACAAAAAACUAAAAAUAAUAACCAUUAUGAUAACUUCAAAUAAAAAUAAUGUUUCAGUGUUUCGUAAAAAACCGUUUUCGGGCAUUUCUUAAUGCAAAAUCUUCAAGUAAUGUCGUCCAAAACAUCCUUCUCAAUGCUGCACAUAGCCAAACCAUUCAAUCUUUCUUGUAACAUAGUUGAUCUCAAACUUACGUAGAGAACCUCUCUGCGAUUCUACGAACUGUUCUUUUUAUUUUUCUUUUCUUUUCUGAGCACUCGACAAAUGUUUCUUAGGAAACAUCUAUCGUAUUCAAAUAAGUACAUUGAAUUAGAAAUUUUAACCCUAACACAAUCAGUAUAAGCAUAGUGUAUAAAAAAUAAGAAAACAAUUGGAAAAACUAAUCAAUUGGUGUGUUGCUUACUGUGACAAGCGAAUCGGAUUGGUGUCCUUGCUGUUAUCGGUCGCCGCCUCGCUGGGUAAGGAGUCAAUCGACGUGGGCGUCUUCUCUCCUCAACCAGAGCAUGUUGAUGGGCACGCAGAGUCAUGGUGGCAGGAAACGAUCAGACGAAACGUUGCCUGCGGCCUGCCCUCCGCUUGAUGGAUCAAGUUAAGUAGAAUAGGUCUGGAAGAGAGAGUUACCUACGGCAUGGGCUACUUUGUGAUAGGCCUUCAAAUGCUUAUUAUGCCAAAUAGAAAAUUGUAUGUACGAAUUACCUAUAUGAUCUUGCCCCUCACCUCCCAGCUCCAUAACCCCCGGCGGUCGCACUGCUUCCCCCCCUCCCCCCACCCCACCCCCCACCCCCACACACACACCCCUCUGAGCCGGGCCUGCUGGCAAAGCCCGACGAGGCUUACUAAAGCAUCCGUGUGUAUACCAUCAUUUAAUCACUUAAUCUCAUUUUUCAAUUUCCUUCAGGUCAUAUGACGUUGCCACCCGGUAAAAUGAAACACUGAUGCAUCGUGAAAAGAGCUCAUGGUUCCGGAAUGAGCACUUUGUUGGAUGACCUGCACUGCUUACAAGAGUGUUAUGUAUAAACACUCCCAUGCCUUGGAUGCCAUUCAAAAUGUUACCAAACAUAUGUAGAGUAACCUGCGUUUCUCUUUCAAGCAGCUAUUUAUGAAGUAUUGGAAACCAAAUUACAUGCUUUCACUUGUGUAGCUGAAUGCAUCCACGACAAUUCGACGAGUCAUAUCAGCAUAUUCUUCCUUACUGUGCCCUAUUGAAAUAUUUCUCACAGUCUGCUACAAAAAUUAGGGCCAACAAACAAUUCUAUAUAAGAUGGCGCGAGCCAUAACAGUUGGUGUGGUUACUGUAUCAAAGCUUGCACUAAACGCUGGAAUUCGGCCCAUGGUGCUAAUAGUAUACACGAUCGUGACGGGUACGGAUGGCCAUGACGAUGUAUCUGAGAAAAGAGCCUCUGGUUCUUGCUGACUUGAUCGAUGGCAUGAUCAAUGACACGAUCAAGUUUGCUACCUAGCUGGAUCUGGAUAAGAGCACAUGUGUAAUGUGGUGGUGCGGCACCAAAGUGUGGUGCUCGUUGUCAACCAAGCCAUCAAUCAUGAUUUUUUUAAAAAAAAAUGUCGGAUACAAGAACUUUUGUAUCUGUUUGACCUUGUUCAUCUUUACUAUACAUCACAACCAGCUACACAUGCAAACUAGAUAAUGCAAUCUUCUACUUGUUAUGGAGCCUCCAUGUUAAUACUCAUAAGAUGCGCUAGAAAAAAAAGAUAAAUUCUUGAAAUUCACAUAAAAAUAAAAUAAAAAUAUGAUCACGUUUAUACAUAUAUAGUGGCAUAAGUUUAGCCACUUCUUCGUUUUCUUUGCUUCAUGUCUCACACGACAUUGCUGGCACGAAGCAAACAGAACACUGAUGACUAAUUAAGAGAUGAACAUUGUAAAGUGAACUCACGAUCCGGAGUGCACUCAUGAUAGAUGAAGGAUGCAUGAACAGUUAUUGGACGACUUGCAGCAACGGUUACAUGCUUGCAAGCUAGAUAAAUACCAAAGACUAUCAUAUAUACUCUCAUGCCUUUGUUGCCGUGCAAAUGUUACAUGGUAGUAUAGUAUUAAGAGUAACUUGUGUGCAGGAUCUUUUUUUUUGUUGCAACUUGUUAAGAACUAAGAACUAUGAACUUUUUUUUUAAACAGUAAGAACUAUAUCAACUGAACUGAAUGAACGAGUGCCAGUGUCAAUUGUCUGGGCCAAGGGAAGGCCCGUUUACUGAGCUAAUGAGCCCGGCCUUUUUUAUUAGAGGCCCGUAGAACGAAUUUGGUCAGUCGGCGCGAUCCUCGGGAAACCUGUAUGGCUUCCGGUAAUUUUUUAGCUACUUGACUUCCAAUAUUGAGAUCCGGUGCAACUCUUCUCAACCGCACAGCAGUCGGAAUCAGAGCAGGCCCGCAUGCAUGCGCGCAACUGAUGGUGCAGGUUACCCAAUGAGUCAUGCUUUACUAGUUGGUGGGUCUUUCUUUGGAAUUUCAAACUUCAAACUACAUUUUCUCCCAAACCGUAAAUUUAUUUUUGAAUCCGUUUGAACCACUAUCUUGCUAAGAAUUAAUGUAACAUAAUCUUAUCUUACUAUUACUAAUUAGAGACUUCUUUUGAGGUCUCCACGUGAAGCCACCUAGGAUGCUAGGUGGACACUCUAGAAAAAUAGAGAAAUUCUAGAAAUUCUCACAAAAAUUAGAAAGAUCUAGCCAUCAAUCAGUUAGACUCUAAUUAUGAUUGCUAAUAAUAGCCACUAGAUCUAUUAUAUUUUGUAAAAAAUUACCACAUAUGCCAUUAUAAAAAGAACCUAAAGUAACCCUCUAAAUCUACGUAUAAAUUACCCACCUUUGCCACUAUGAAAAUAAUCUAACAUAAUCCUCUAAUUUCAUUUAAAUAACAAAAAUGUGCCACUAAAAAUAAUAUAAAGUAAAAAAUAUUAAUCCUUAAUCUCUAUCAAUGGAAGCUCAUAAAAGGAUGCCAUCAAUCCUCCUCACGCCUGUUCACGGGAAAAUAAAUAUAAAGAAAUCCUAAAUUUGUAAAAAAAUGAACAAAACGUAUAGCCUAUACAUCUCACGUAAAGGAUAUCUUCGUUAAUUUCUCCAACCCUCCACUUAAUCCACUUGAUCAACUACUACCGAUCUCAACAAGCAUUCAUCUCUCCUCCCCUAAAAUAAUACUGAUUGCAUCUCCUCUCCAUCAAAAUAAUUGGGGACUCUUUUUUAAAACCUCCACAUAAAGCCAUCUAGGAUCAUAGGUGGGCUCUUGAAAAAUAGAGAAGUCUUAGAAAUUCUAAAAAAAGUGAAACAUCUUGCUACCAAAUUCAGUAUGUUGUAAUCAACGUUGUUAAUAAUAGUUGUUUGACUAUGCUCUAUUUCUAAAAAAUUACUCACUUAUACCAUUACGAAUAAAUAGCCUAAAAUAAUCACAUGUUUCUAUAUCUCAAUUACCCACGUAUUCUAUUAAAAAAAUUAAUCUAAUAAUGUCCUACAGAUCCCAUUCAGCCUAAUUUAAAUAUUUUACGAAAAACCGAUACUUUUGUACUGCUCCCAUCAACUAGAAAUCCAAACGGUAAGUCAAGUCAUUUCUUUGUUGUUUUGGGCUAUUGCCUGCUUCCAUUUUCAUCAAUUGAGAGGUAAUGAAUUCUUCUCAAACAGUUAUUCCUGCCGAAUCUGUUUUAUGGGAAGAUUAUUUGUAUACCAUAACAUAUGUACAGAUAAAUAGGUCGAUUCUGCAUCCCUUGCGAAUUUAAAGUACGAAAUUCUACUUGAACUCUUAGUCCUACCAAAUCUAUAUACUAUAUCUGAUCAUUAUUUGUAUACCGUAACUUUGGUAUAAAAAAUAGCUUGAUUUUAUAUUCCUUCCAAACCUAUCUCGCAAGAUCAUCCUUCUUCUUGAAUUGUUUUGUACAAUGCCAUGUUUGUAUACCAUAACUUUUGUAUAGAAAAAUAGCACAAGUAGUGGAUCCAUCACCAUCUUGGUGAUGCAAUUGAACCAGUUACAACGGUGGCAAAACCUUAAGUGAAAUUAGACCAGGAAAGGAAUUUUAAAAAAAUCAAGACAACAGUAACCAGACUAUGGAAUGCAAUCUUUUGCUCGGUAGUAGAGAACAGUUAAGUCCUGACACGAUCCUUAUUGAUCUGUAGAUAUAAUUGUUGUUCACUAUGGUAGCACUUUUCGGAUUAUUUUCAGUUUAUAAAUUAUUAAUGAUGGUGAAAUUUAAGAUAAUCAGGAGUAAUUGAUGAGAGACGUACUGGGAGAACCAUUGCAAGUAAUGUUCCAAACAUACCAUAUUCAAUAUGUUACUAAUUACUCAACAUGUGGAUUAACGGUUGCUAUUUUGAAUGUAGUUAGCUACACGUUUGAAUUCCAAAACAGGGGGCCUCCCAUACGCCCAUGUACUCAAUUUUCUUGAUAGCUGUCAUAGUGGAAUACAAACUACACCGAAGAGAAGAUAGGAACCAUAUUGAUUUGCUUCCUGUUGUCCGGAUCUUUGAAAUAAAAAACAAAGUUAAUUGUACUUAGCAAUUUUAUUUCAAACAUAGUAUGCACUACAAUCUUCAAAAUGUAUAUUGAUCUUGCUCCCCAAUCAUGACAAGUACUAAAUAAUAUGUUAUGUAUUAUUUUUAUAUUAUUUAGAGUCCAUACUUUAAAUUUUUGUGAUCCUUCUAAUGAUUCCAUAAGUGUUAGAAAAUUAAUCAAAAAUAGAAAAUUUAAUUGGUUGUUCAUCUUGAUGAAAUUAAAUAAAAAAUACUAAUAUUUAUGUCACCUAAAAGUGUAGCCGUGCAGAACGGUUGAUGGACUAGUGAGAUCUAAUAUGAAUAUAUUUUACUAUUUUUAAAAAAUCAAUAUUUUGGACGAUCUAUCUCAACAUUUUAAUUUUAAGUAUGCUACUCCAACAUUUUUAAUUAGAUGUUGAAAUGGUUUAUUCAAAAUGUUGAAUGUAGUUUGAAAGAAUGUUGAAUCUAAUAAUUAAAAUGUUGAGUAUAUUAGUUUGAUAUUUUGAAUAUAUGAGGUCACAACGAAAGUCUAAAUAACAGCGCACGUUGCCUAUCCGUAGGCCUGUGCCCUCCUGCAUGCUACUGGCUGGCCUCCUCCCUCAUCCCCCGCUGGUGAUCAGCACGCGCUUUGAAGAGCAGCGCCGGCGGCAGCACAAACUUGGGAGGGUCUCUGCGGCGGAGCAUCAACCAUCACCUUUGAUCUGAUCUUCAGAGUUCAGUCAUAUAUAUAGUUCAGUUAACUUAAUGGUCAUGCGUCUGAAGGAAAACCGCAAUUAUUUUACAUUUUGAUAUCACCAAACUCCUGCCAAAUGCCUAAAUCCUUUUCAAACGAUGAUAAAUAUUUUCAUUUCAGGGCGGCAAAAUCUGAAGAGGCUCACUGUAUAUUGUACUUUAGUUCUACUAUCAGUUCAGCACCUUCUUCGUUUCCUUGAGGUCACACCACAUUAGAACCAGCAAUCAAAACACUUACGCCUCGUCAGAUCAACUCAUGGCUGAUGAAUGAUCCAUGAACAAUUGUUGGAUGACUUUGCAUCAACGGAUGCAUGCUUAUAUUACAAGCCAGAACAAUGCUCAAGACUGUCGUACUAUCAUAUAUAUACUCCCGUGGCUUGGAUGCCAUUCAAAAUGCUGCAAGAGGUAGAGCAACUUGUAGUUCUCUGUCGAGGUGUAAACGAGCUGUAUAUAUUGGGAGGGAGCUCUGAAAUGUUGGGCUAUUGGAGGUAACCAAAGUAUCAUCCUCAGCUUUGACCUGUGUGGCUUAGUUCAUUCUAGGUAACUCAGCGGGCGACGUGGGCAUAUGGCUGUGGUAUCUGGUAUUUCUGCUUGUUCGGACGUUUUACUGGAUUCACGGUAAGUUAAUCUUCUCAUGGUCUUUGUCGAGUACAACUGAUGUAACACGUCGACACAGUGUAUUGAAGGGGUCGAUCCUCUCUCAUUCUGAUCGAACUCUUGGAGAUAGCAUACCAGCAGCAAAAAUUCCUUCUUUUUCAAAUUGAACAGCAAAAACAAAAAUGAUACUGUGACAGAUAAAAGGAAUUUGCAGGAACAGAGAUAUCAUCUGUCGUUCAGUCGUGGAACCGCUGUGUUGCGUACUCGUGCCUGACGGAGCUCUGAAGUCGAACAAGACACUUGUGACAGAGAGCAGAGCUCCAAAAGUCCAAAUUCAGAAUUUCAGAGUCCUCUCUUGAUUUCAAUUUUCAAUACAAAGAUGUUUCUUCUGAUCCUGCUAGUCCUUCUGGAAAUCUGCGACAGCGGCGGCAUAAGAAUUUGAACCCGACGGAGCCAUACACUGUACAAAACGUAUGGUAAUUGUAUGUCUUCCUUCCAAAGUUCCUAAGUCAGCCAUGGAAGAGACAGGGCACGGAUCAAACAGAAAAUAGAGAGGGACAGACCCCGUCUCUGCUAACACUUGCCAAUCUCUGUGUUUUACGCUGGUCUUCUCUAGUUUAGCCAAUCUUCUCUAGUUUAGCAAAACUGACUAAACUCUCGGUGAACGAAAAAUUAAGGAUUUCCACGAAGCAGGACUCUCUGGGCCUAGCACAGGCCUAAACACCAAGCUGCUGAGCCCAAAUUUAUUCCACCAAUGUCUCCAUGAUGUGCUUCCUGGUUAGGGAUCAAGAACUGUCCUUUAUGACUUCAUCCGAUGCCUCGAUGGUGUGGUUAGCGACUUUUGCCUGACAGACUGAACUAUGUAUGAAGAGACAGUUCUGACAGACGUUAAAGCUUCAACAGAUACGCAGAGUGCUCAUGCAUUUUCUUUCUUUUUAAAAAUAAUAAAAAGCUACACUUCACAGGUGGGCAAUUCCUUCGCUAGGCACCCAAUUUGCUUGCAUUCCCGCCGAUGAUUUGGCUCCCCUAAUAUGGGCUGCACUGCGCGUGCGCCAUUUGAGGGAAGCCCAUCGGUUCAUCUCCUCCGUCUCGCACACACGGCAUUGGCACCCAACAAACCAAAAAAAAAAAAAAAUACUGAUGAGUCCUGAGAAGAGCUCGUUACUCCGGUAUGCACCCAUGAUAGAUGAAUGGUGUACCAACAUUUGUUGGAUGACUAGCACUGCUUACAAAGAGUGUUCUGUAUAUACACUCACAUGCCUAUGCCUUGAAUGCCCAGAGAUAGAGUACCACGUGUGUUCUCUUUCAAGCAGCUAGUCUGAAACUCACCCUUGGAUGAUGAGUAAUUGACAACAUUAUGUUGGAUUGAUGUUACUCUUGGCUUGUGAUGUGCAGGUGUAGGAUGUGACAUGGCGGCCGACGAUGUGCGGUGAAGGUCGAAUGAAAGGUUCAUGCCGGUGGACAAGGGCGGUGAAGGAUGAACGCAAGUAGGCUUAUCGAUGGACCCGAGGUGUCCAGGCGGAGUCAUGGGCGGUCCACAUAGUGCACGAAAGAGCGAGAGAACAUGACGGAUGGAGACGGCGUCGGUCAAGUCGAGCGGGAGGCUCGGCGAAGGCCGGACACGCGUCAACAUCGAGGAGAUCACGUGGCAGCCAAGCGGAGAUGGACGGUUUGGCUGGUUUGGGCCUCAAAACCACUGCGCAGGCAGGUUUCCUGGUUUGAGCCUCAAAACCAGGGGUGAGCCUGGUGCGGCCAGAGCUUCGAGAAGGAGGGCACGUGACGUCAUCGCGAAGUUUGCGUCGAGGCGAAGCAAAGUCGUGAAGGUGGCGUGUCAGUCGGAUGCGCCGAUAAAAAUAUGAACCAAAAUACCCCUGCGUUGGUGGUUAUCUUAGUUGAUGUUGUAGGGGUAGUUUGAUCAUCUGCCAAGGACUAUAUAUAUGGGUGGAUGGCUGGUUAUUUCAGAUCUCUUUGCUUAGGAACUCAAAAUUAUUUUUUUUCUUAGAGGCUAGUCAUGUGCUUAGAGAGAGAGAAAAGGGAGAUGAGAGGGUGAUUACUCUUUUCUCUUAAUUUCUUCAUCAUUAGUGGGUGGAUGAAGGGAGGAGGCUAGUCCUCAUCUUCUUAUAAAGAAUAUGUUCUCGUAAUUUAGCAUUGUUAGCUAUCUCAAAUCGUGCUAAAUCUUUGAUUCCCGAGUGUUUUUUUUCUAUUUUCGGAGCCAUUUUUGGGAUUUAUUAUUCUUCGUGUUUGAGCCCAAAUCUCGUAAGAUUGGUUGAUGGAAAAUGUUGCUAGGACCUUAGGGAGCAUCUUUGAUAUGAUCCCUUCCAAAUCCCUCACAAAUCCAACUUGAAUUUUGAAUUUCUCCCAAAACCGUGUUUGAGUUAGGGUUUCGGUUUUCUCCAAGAUUUGCGAUGAAUAUACUUAAGAUUUUUGAGAUUUGUCUCGUGGAUCCAUUUGCCCUUGAGGUAUUGCAUCCUUGUCUUAAGUUUCAUCUCGAUCCAUGGAGAUUUGAAGGAGGAUUUCUCGUUUGAAGAUUUGCAUGUUCUUGAGGCUGUUCUUGUGUUCUUCGGGUCGUCUCUGUUCUUUGCGCAGGUAUCGAGCGAAGCAGACACAAAGCAGCUGCACGUGAAACAGCAGGCCAGGCACACGGGCCGUCAGCGCAGCAGCAGGCGAGCGGGCCGACAGGGCGCGUGCGACGCAGCAGCAGAGGCCCAGCUGAGCAAACGAUCCAGGCAGGCCAUGCACGCGCAGCAGGCCGUCAGGUGCACCAGGCUGGCCCACGCGUGAGGCAGGCCCAGCACACAGGCCACAGGCCGCACGUCCAGCAGCCAGGAGCUCGUGGCCCAGGAGCGAAGCCCAGCGCCAACGAGUUGCAGGCACGGCCCAGUACCAGCGGCCCAGGCAAGCGGGCCAUCGCCGGCCGGCAGCAGCUGGUCCACCAGUGGCCCAAGCGAGCAGCAGCAGCGGCCCGCUAGCGUGGGGAGCAGGCCCAGCAAGGUGAGAAGGCCACAGUUCUAUCGUUCAAUUACUAGUCUGUGUGAUUUAAUCGCUGAAAUCACUAGUAAAUCUCUGACACCUUGUUUAGCUACUUGUUUAGUGUUUUGUCUUACUAAUCAUGCUUAGCUCUUUAAAUUAAUUGUUAAUCCUUCCAUGCCUAGUUAAGCAAGUGGUUAGUAAUAUCUUUGCUUAAAUCUUAUUUGUGCAAACUUGAUGGAGUCGAUUUAUGCUUUGCUUCCGCUAUGAGUUGAGCGUCUCCUAUUGUUCCUAGAGUGAGUUUGUCACGGGUUGACUAGUGUCAUCUUGACGCGAAGUGUGUUUUGAGUGGAAAUUGGGACAUAGGCCUUGUUCUCUUUGAAGAAUUUUAAAGGUUUCCAUUCACCCCAUCUGAUCGCUCUUUCGGUUCUUCAGAAACAUUUGAGGAAACCAAAUUAUGAGCUUUCACUUGUGUAGCUGAAUGCAUCCACAACGAGUCGGCGAGGCAUGUGGGCAUAUUGUACUUUACUUUUGCCUAUUCAAUCAUUUCUCUCACGAUCCACUACAAAAAUCAGAGCCAACAAGAGACAUGAGUGAUAAUAGCGGACAUGGUUACUCUAUCAUAGAUUGCACUAAACACUGGAAUGCGUCCUAUGUUGCUAAUAGUAUACGUGUUUGUAACUGAUAUGGAUAGACAUGAUGUAUUAUUUGUUAAAAGAUCCUCUGGUUCUUGAAUAGUUGAUCAAUGACAUGAGUUUGCUACCUGGAUGUGGAUGAGAACACAAGUGUAGUGUGGUGUCUAACUGUGGUGCUAGCAUGACAUGAUCAUGGUAGAUGAAUGAUCCAUGAAUAAUUGUUGCAUGACUUGCAUCAAUGAUCAAUGGAUGCAUGCUUAAAGCAACAAUACCAAAGACUAUCACACUAUCAUUUACCAUUCAAAAUGUUUCAAGAGGUAGAACUGUAGAACAACCUGUGUAUCUUGCUGUUAAGAUGUACUCUAAAGUAUUCAGCUAUUGGAGGUAACCAAACUAACAUUACAAGCAUGUUGGAGCUAGCUCGAAAAGCCAUGUGGGGAUCCGGGUAUGGUUUAUGAUGUUUCCAUCCGCUCAAAUUCUUCAGCAGUUUCUUUCGAGCAGAGUUUAUAUAAGAUGCAUGCCUCUGUUUGCGAAACACGAGUCUUUUAUUCACAUCAAUGUUUGUACAGGCAAGUUCUAUAAAAAAAUAUUUCAUUCACAUCCUUAGUGAAAGAGACGUUUGCCGUUUACCAAUAAAAUCUUAUGGUCAUCGCCAAUGCUGUAUCUGUGACAGAUAAAAGUGCAUUGCAGGAACAAAUAGAUCCUCUGUGGCUCUGUCGUUCAGUCGUUACUAGUUCCUGAAGCGUUAGUGUAAGGUCUGGUUUGGUUGCCUGACUUAUUUUUAAACACCCGUCACAUCGAAUGUUUAGAUACUAAUUAGGAGUAUUAAACGUAGACUAUUUACAAAACCGAUUACAUAAGUGGAGGCUAAACGGCGAGACGAAUCUAUAAGCCUAAUUAGUCCAUGAUUUGACAAUGUGUUGCUACAGUAAACAUUUGCUAAUGAUGGAUUAAUUAGGCUUAAUAGAUUCGUCUCGCCGUUUAGUCUCCACUUAUGUAAUGGGUUUUGUAAAUAGUCUACAUUUAAUACCCCUAAUUAGUGUCUAAACAUUCGAUGUGACAGGUGCUUAAAAAUAAGCAAAGGAACCAAACAGGCCCUAAAGAGACCGGAGAAGUAGUCGAGAUCGAGGCCGUUGUCUUGUAGUCGGUUCAGGCAGGCCCGAGGUCACAUUGUUGGCCCUGCUCGAAAAUGUUGCAAGAUGGGAUCGAAGCAGAUCAUUAUGCUCGAAAGUGUAUUUGCAUGGCUUUGUUCCAAAGUUCCUCCGUCAACCAUGCAAGAGUCAGUCUUUUUUUAGUGUGACUGAAUCUUGGCUGCAAGCAAAGCUACAGCCUGCAGGCUGCAGGUCACACGAUUCACUUGAUACAUGACUGAAUGGAAGGGAACAUGCCUAAACAUCUGAGCUGUCGCCGCCGGCAAGGAGUGUAUCCAUUUGUGCAGCCCAAUCACAAAUGCUCGUAUGGGCUACUUUGAAGCGGCAGCAGCAAGACUGUUGCCGAGCACCAAAUGUCAUUCUUUAUCCGAUCUUCAGAAUUCGGUCAUGUAAUAAUUCAGUUCACUCCUUGACUUGAUGGGUGUGGUUUGCGAAACGAGAUCAUGAUUCCAGAGUGCACUCAAUCACCCAUGAUGAAUGAAUGAUUGAUUAGCAGUUUGCUGGAUGCCAUUGAGAAUAUUACAAGAGAUAGAGUAACCUGUAUCACCGUAAAAAGCAGCUGUACUACACAUAAGCCAGAGAACUCUCAAGUAUUAGAGGAAGCCAAAUUACUAUGAUAAGUUUUGACUUAUGUAACCAAAUGCAUGGAAGUCAUGAAGGGAAUAGUUUAGCGGCAUCAGCGCGUGGGGAAUAUAUAGUUUAGCGGCAGGGGCCCAGGACACAGUGCAGGGAAUCAGAGUUCUCGCAAAGAAAACCUUUCUCCGUAGAAUUGCUCAAAGAAUCAUAGAGAAUCACUUUCAACCACAUAAUUACUUUUCUGCAAGAAUCAACCCCCGCUAAAGAAUCAGGAGCAGGUGGACCCUAUGUACACGGGAAGAACAAAGCAUGCAUAAACAUGUCUGCCCUUUAUCGAAAAAAUAAACAUGUCUGUUAAGCUGAGACUAAUGCCAGGGCUUGUCCCGGGUGCCUUGGAUUUGUCAAGAAAUUGCAAGGACCCUUCACAGUUGACAGGGAGUAAAGAAAUUGCUUUGAUUAUCCAGGACCCUUCACAGUCAACACGGACUAAAGAAAUUGUAUUUAUUAUCCAGGACCCUUCACAGUCGACAAGGACUAAAGAAAUUGCACUGAUAUUUCAGGCUGUGCUCAAUUAGUUUCUACACUGAUAGGCAUACCGCAGACCUUGACCUCGUGCCUGGCCGUGGUUCUCUGGACAAACAGAUGAGGCCGAAUUCAAUGUCCUUGUUAGGUGCAACGUGCAAUCGUUACAGUCGCAUGGGCCACGAAUGAUAGGGUUCCAUAGUGACCUGUUGGAAAUUGGAAUCAAUGCAACCAGGGAGGAAAUUGGAAAACGUAUAUACAAAAACAUGCUGGCAUGAGACCAUAAGAAAUUCUCUUGCAGCAGAAUGACUUCUCUGUUUUUUUUUUUUUGCCUUUUUCCACAAUAUUAAGGUCAAACUCGUAUUUCAAAGCCAACAUGGACUUGCCGGCGGCCGCACCUACUCCUUCAUGGAAGAGGCGUACAGAUAAGAGCAAGUAAUCAAGAGAACAAGUGCAUGGGAGAGCAUUAUAUUGUAUUUGUCCAGAAAUUGGAUUAGUAUGUCCAGAACUCACGAUAGUGACCGGAGAAAAGGCAGCAAAACGGAACCGGAAACGAUGGGGAGACCUUGGCCUUGACCUCGAGUCGUCGACUGGAGACUGGAGUGAGCACGUGAGCGGGGCCAGGAGCAGGACGUGCAGCGACCAGCAAGCAUUGAGUUUGGUGGUUGAGCAGCGGGGCCACUGAGCGGUGAUGCAUUAUUACCUUCAAUUAUUAAUUGCCUUCCCCUUCCCCUGCAUCCGCAUCCCAUCGACCUCUGCUUCGUGCGAUUCCAAGGCGGUUGCGAGCGGUGAGCUGUGUUGCGGCCGAGCAAGCUUGAAUCAAGCAACCUCGGUCCGGCGACGAGCGGCUGGCGGCGCGAUCCGGCAAACCAGUGAGUCCUAGCUGUCGCACUCUUGUUCUUCAAUCUUCUUCAUGCCCAUCCAUUCCCAAUAGGCAAUAGCUACAGCCUACGAAAAGGCAGGUCGAGCACCCCCAUCCGAAGGAGCCCAAGCGGCCAUCCACAAAGAGAUAAAGUCACGAGACCCUAUCGUUAGCUUCUCUCAUCAAUUAAUAUGAUUUCUGUCGUUAGCUUCUCUCCAUCUGAAUUAAGCUGUUCAAACGAUGUCACAAUUUGAUUAAUGAUUUGAAUUUUAAUGGUAGAUCGUCAACAACUCAAAUGUCGAGAAAAACAUCAAUCAUACAUCAUUCAGUUUCAUUUUAGUACUAGCAUACAACCUUACUCAUUGCUCUUGCCCAGGGACAAAUCCAUGGAGAUCGUGACAGGGGCAAUUCCAAGCCUCCUGGACAAGCUCAGUGAGUUGCUAGAUGGCGAGUACAAUCUGCAAAAGGAGGCUAAGGGAGGGAUCAAAUUCCUUCAAACUGAGCUCGAGAGCAUGCAAUGUGCCCUCGAGAAGAUCUCGAGGACACCAGCAGACAAGAUUGACGACCAGGACAAGAUCUGGGCUAGGAAAGUGAGAGAGAUGUCCUACGAUAUAGAGGACAAUAUUGACAAAUAUAUCGUGCAGUGCAAGGGGAGGAAGAGGAAGAGGAAGACGGACGAACAGCAUAGCUUCAAGGAAGCUAUUGAUAGGUUCCUCGAAUGGUUAUGGCAGCCUAUGAUUCGUCGUAAGUUUGCUACAGAAAUCAGAGAGAUCAAGAGCCGUGUCAUCGAGGUGCACGAGCGGCGCCGCAGGUAUGAGGUCAGCCUUGGUGUUGACAAGCCUGUAACUGUGGACCCUCGUUUAUUCGCUCAGUACACGGAGGUCAAAGAGCUUGUUGGAAUUGAUGAGGCAAGGGAUGAGUUAAUCAGCAAGAUUAUGAUAGAAGAGAAUGAAGUUCCCAAGAAGCAAGGCAGGAUAGUUUCAAUUGUUGGAUUUGGAGGUCUGGGAAAGACAACUCUUGCCAAUACAGUGUACAAAAAGAUUAGAGCACAAUUUGAUUGCUAUGCUUUUGUUUCUGUUUCUCAAACUCCUGACCUGAAGAAACUGUACAAAGGCUUGCUAUAUGAUCUUGGCAAGAGCAUCAACGAAGAAACAUUGGAUGAGAGGCGACUCAUAGAAGCACUCACAGAAUUCCUUGAAGACAAAAGGUACGAAAGCAUUCCUUUCGCCAAUUUAUACAUAUGAACUUUUUUGGACUGAUAAUUUAUGCCCUCUGUUCACAAUACUAUAAGUCUGCAUAGGGUUAAUUAAAUGUUCAUGCACGUGGCCACAACCACUUAAGCAUUACCACAACAUUAUUAAGUGCAAAUAAUUUCCUCACUGGACCUCGAUUUGUUUUGACAAAAUUCUGAGUGGACUUAUUUUAUCCACGGACUUGCCAAUCCACCUGCUCCCGGGCUAUUUUAGUUUAAUCAUUAAACCAUUAGCAGUGGUCUGAUUUGCUUAAUUUUCUUGUAGCUGGUAUAUGAACAACAUUAGAGCUUUAUUCAGUCCUUAAACCACUAUUUUUGGCUAAUAACUUGGCAUAUGUGUAGGUAUUUUGUUGUUGUUGAUGACGUAUGGGAUAUAUCAGUUUGGAAAAUGAUUAGAUAUGCUUUGCCUGAUAAUGAUGUUGGAUACACUAUUAUUAUAACAACCCGUAUUUCUCAUGUUGCUGAACAAGCUGGGGGUGCUUACAACAUGAAACCUCUUUCUUUGAAUAACUCCCGAAAACUACUGUAUAGAAGAAUAUUUGGUAAUGGGAACAAAGACAACAAUGAAGAAGAAGAAAAAUGUCCUCAUGAGGAGCUGGCCGAAGUAUCUAACAGAAUACUGAAUAAAUGUGCUGGUGUGCC
rnacentral:lncRNA from 1 species